rnacentral:rRNA from 1 species
UGGUCUUAGCUUGCUAAGACUGAUGGCGACCGGCGCACGGGUGAGUAACACGUAUCCAACCUGCCGUCUACUCUUGGACAGCCUUCUGAAAGGAAGAUUAAUACAAGAUGGCAUCAUGAGUCCGCAUGUUCACAUGAUUAAAGGUAUUCCGGUAGACGAUGGGGAUGCGUUCCAUUAGAUAGUAGGCGGGGUAACGGCCCACCUAGUCUUCGAUGGAUAGGGGUUCUGAGAGGAAGGUCCCCACAUUGGAACUGAGACACGGUCCAAACUCC